AGCAUUUAUUGAGCAUUAAUUAAAUGUCUAGCCUAGUGACCAAGUUUGGGAUUAUGAACAAAAUAAUUUAUCUCUCUCAUUCUUCCCAAACCUCACGCCUCUCCCCCCUCUCUCACUCUUUUCUCUUUCUUCCUCCAUUGUUGAUCAUGUUCCAAGCUUCUUAGAUUAAUUCUACACCAACAAACAUCAUUAGAGCAAGCUUUAAACACCUUAUAUCCUUGAAUCAAGAGCACAUUUGAAGGAUUCUAAAGCUUGAAGUCAAGAGGAGGAUUUUAUUUUUCUACUCAAGAAUCAUUGAAUACGAGCAGAGAACGGCAGUGAGUCCACCCCGAACGCUACGAGAGUAAGCUAGGACAUCAGGUGAGCAUUAUUUUUACUAUACGUAUAUAGAGAUCACCUGCGUAUCGUAGGCCUCUUAUACGAAAUGAAGUAAAUGAUAUGAGUUAACUGUUAAAUUUCAGUUUGAUGAAAAUCAUUACUGAUGAUGAUGUUUAUGAGUUUGAUAAAUAAUUUGAGAUUUAUUGAUGUUGAACUAAUUGACUUGCCGAGUUUUGAUGACGAUGAGCCUGUAUGUCACCCUCUACUGAUGAGACGAAUUCGGGUCCUGCUACAAGCGGGAUUGUGUACACAGAGGUGACCGUGAGCCGUCUUUCGGGUCAGCCGGUCAGAGGUGAUUGUGAGCUGUCCUUCGGGUCGGCCGGUCACGCUACUUGAGAAGGAGGCCUACUUCUCAGUACCUUUUAUGAUGAUGAUUCGUAGAUGUGGAUAAGCGAGGAGAGAGAUUGGACUGGUGCUGGCAGGGAUUUUGUUUGAGAUAAUCUUCAUUAUACCGUAAUUAUAUUCCUUGCGGUAACAUCAAGAUGUUGAAGUUUAUUUUGAACUUAAUCAAGAAAUUUACUCUAGGCUAUAUGUCUUCAUACAUAUAGUCUGUUCGCAUUUUGCUGCGAUACUCUGUAUAUCCCGAGUCAUUGUGAGUAAUUAGCUAUGUCUACUUUGUAAAGUUUAACAAGAAUCUCGAUGAUUUAAAAGUUAUAAAGCCAAUAAUAUUUUUAUUGAUAA